rnacentral:tRNA from 1 species
GGGUCGGUUCCCGAGCGGCCAAAGGGGUCAGACUGUAAAUCUGAUACGUAAUGUUUCGUUGGUUCGAAUCCAACCCGGCCCA